AUUGAACGCUGGCGGCAGGCCUAACACAUGCAAGUCGAGCGAGCGGCGGACGGGUGAGUAAUGUCUGGGAAACUGCCUGAUGGAGGGGGAUAAAUACUGGAAACGGUAGCUAAUACCGCAUACCAUCAGAUGUGCCCAAAUGGGAUUAGCUAGUAGGUGGGGUAACGGCUCACACAGGCGACGAUACCUAGCUGGUCUGAGAGGCUGACCAGCCACACUGGAACUGAGACACGGUCCAGACUCCUACGGGAGGCAGCAGUGGGGAAUAUUGCACAAUGGGCGAAAGCCUGAUGCAGCCAUGCCGCGUGUGUGAAGAAGGCCUUCGGAUUGUAAAGCACUUUCAGCGGGGAGGCGGUACCCGAAGAAGAAGCACCGGCUAACUCCGUGCCAGCAGCCGCGGUAAUUG
rnacentral:rRNA from 1 species